GACGAACGCUGGCGGCGUGCUUAACACAUGCAAGUCGAACGGAAAGGCCCUGCUUUUGUGGGGUGCUCGAGUGGCGAACGGGUGAGUAACACGUGAGUAACCUGCCCUUGACUUUGGGAUAACUUCAGGAAACUGGGGCUAAUACCGGAUAGGAGCUCCUGCUGCAUGGUGGGUGUUGGAAAGUUUCGGCGGUUGGGGAUGGACUCGCCGCUUAUCAGCUUGUUGGUGGGGUAGUGGCUUACCAAGGCUUUGACGGGUAGCCGGCCUGAGAGGGUGACCGGCCACAUUGGGACUGAGAUACGGCCCAGACGCCUACGGGAGGCAGCAGUGGGGAGUAUUACAGAAUAGGCGGAAGCCUGAUGCAGCAACGCCGCGUGCGGGAAGACGGGCUUCGGGUUGUAAACCGCUUUCGCCUGAGACGAAGCGUGAAUGACGGUAAUGGGUAAAGAAGCACCGGCUAACUACGUG
rnacentral:rRNA from 1 species